GCAUUAAUGGGGUAGUGGUAACCUGGGUCGUUGCCAUAUCGUGUACCAUGUUGUAUUCGACCCGCCGGGGGUUCGAUUCCCCCUUAAUGCA